rnacentral:misc_RNA from 1 species
AGCAGCCGCGGUAAUUCCAGCUCCAAUAGCGUAUAUUAAAGUUGUUGCAGUUAAAAAGCUCGUAGUUGAAUUUCGGGGUUAGUAGGUUGGUCAUGCCUCUGGUAUGUACUGGUCUCACUGAUUCCUCCUUCCUGAUGAGCCGUAAUGCCAUUAAUUUGGUGUUGCGGGGAAUCAGGACUGUUACUUUGAAAAAUUAGAGUGUUUAAAGCAGGCUCACGCUUGAAUACAUUAGCAUGGAAUAAUGAAAUAGGACGUUUGAUUCUAUUUUGUUGGUUUCUAGGAUCGACGUAAUGAUUAAUAGGGAUAGUUGGGGGCAUUAGUAUUCAAUUGUCAGAGGUGAAAUUCUUGGAUUUAUUGAAGACUAACUACUGCGAAAGCUAAUUUGUCCAAGGAUGUUUUACAUUAAUCAAGAACGAAAGUUAGGGGAUCGAAGACGAUCAGAUACCGUCGUAGUCUUAACCAUAAACCUAUGCCGACUAGGGAUCGGAUGAUGUUAAUUUUUAAUGUACUCUAUUCGGAC